rnacentral:lncRNA from 1 species
AUGUUUGUUCAUGUCACUGUUAUUUCAAUAGAACCAACUGUGAGAGCAGAGCUCAUGGAACAAGUGCCCCACAUUGCACUGUUUUGUCAAGAGAACCGGCCUUCGAUACCAUAUGCUUUCUCCAAAUACUUACUGCCGAUCGUGGUUAGAUACCUCGCAGAUCAGAAUAACCAGGUGAGGAAAACGAGUCAGGCAGCUUUGCUGGCUCUGCUGGAGCAGGAGCUGAUGGAGCGAUUGGAUGUGGAGACUAAGGUGUGCCCAGUUCUCAUAGAGCUGACUGCCCCAGACAGCAAUGACGAUGUGAAGACAGAGGCUGUGGCUGUAAGUCUGUCGGGAAACUUGGUCACACAUGCUGUCAUUCAGAUCUGUGGUUCCCAAUAGCAAGUAGCAAAGUACUAAGUCAUCCUGAUGGUUAUUCACAUUUCAUUGGACACUUGGCAUUUGCUAUUAUAAUACCUAAAACACUGAUCUUUUGUUGCUAUAAAAAAGUUGUAACAGCGGGUCGUUGGUGGUGCACGCCUUUAAUCCCAGCACUCGGGAGGCAGAAUCAGGUGGAUCUCUUUGAGUUCGAGGCCAG